rnacentral:rRNA from 1 species
CCUACGGGUGGCAGCAGUGAGGAAUAUUGCACAAUGGUGGUAAGACUGAACCAGCGACGUCGCGUGCACGAUGAAGGAUCUCGGGGUGUAAAACUCUAUCUACACGGAGGAAAAUGACGUUACGUGAGUAGGUAGCUACGGCUAAAUACGUUCCAGCAGCCGCGAUACUACGGCGGGAGCAGGCGUAAUCCGGAUUUACUGGGCGUUAAGGGGGCGUAUGCGGCCUGCUAAGUCUGUCGUGAAAUUCCGUGGCGCAACCCUGGGACUGCAGGGGAAACUGGCAGGCUGGAGUGCGUGGAAGGUAGGCGGAAUUCGUGGUGUAGCGGUGAAAUGCGGAGAUAUCAGGAGGAACACCGGUGGCGAAGGCGGCCUGCGGGACGGUGACUGACGCUGAGGCUCGAAGGCGUGGGGAGCAAACAGGAUUAGAUACCCCUGUAGUC